rnacentral:rRNA from 1 species
UAAGCACUCCGCCUGGGGAGUACGGUCGCAAGACUGAAACUCAAAGGAAUUGACGGGGGCCCGCACAAGCGGUGGAGCAUGUGGUUUAAUUCGAAGCAACGCGAAGAACCUUACCAGGUCUUGACAUCCUCUGACAACCCUAGAGAUAGGGCUUCCCCUUCGGGGGCAGAGUGACAGGUGGUGCAUGGUUGUCGUCAGCUCGUGUCGUGAGAUGUUGGGUUAAGUCCCGCAACGAGCGCAACCCUUGAUCUUAGUUGCCAGCAUUCAGUUGGGCACUCUAAGGUGACUGCCGGUGACAAACCGGAGGAAGGUGGGGAUGACGUCAAAUCAUCAUGCCCCUUAUGACCUGGGCUACACACGUGCUACAAUGGGCAGAACAAAGGGCAGCGAAGCCGCGAGGCUAAGCCAAUCCCACAAAUCUGUUCUCAGUUCGGAUCGCAGUCUGCAACUCGACUGCGUGAAGCUGGAAUCGCUAGUAAUCGCGGAUCAGCAUGCCGCGGUGAAUACG